AACGCUGGCGGCAGGCCUAACACAUGCAAGUCGAGCGGCAGCACGGGAAGCUUGCUUCCUGGUGGCGAGCGGCGGACGGGUGAGUAAUGCAUAGGAAUCUGCCCGAUAGUGGGGGAUAACCUGGGGAAACCCAGGCUAAUACCGCAUACGUCCUACGGGAGAAAGCAGGGGCUCUUCGGACCUUGCGCUAUCGGAUGAGCCUAUGUCGGAUUAGCUGGUUGGUGAGGUAAUGGCUCACCAAGGCGACGAUCCGUAGCUGGUCUGAGAGGAUGAUCAGCCACAUCGGGACUGAGACACGGCCCGAACUCCUACGGGAGGCAGCAGUGGGGAAUAUUGGACAAUGGGCGCAAGCCUGAUCCAGCCAUGCCGCGUGUGUGAAGAAGGCCCUCGGGUUGUAAAGCACUUUCAGUGGGGAAGAAAGCCUUGGGGCUAAUACCCUCGAGGAAGGACAUCACCCACAGAAGAAGCACCGGCUAACUCCGUGCCAGCAGCCGCGGUAAUACGGAGGGUGCGAGCGUUAAUCGGAAUUACUGGGCGUAAAGCGCGCGUAGGUGGCUUGAUAAGCCGGUUGUGAAAGCCCCGGGCUCAACCUGGGAACGGCAUCCGGAACUGUCAGGCUAGAGUGCAGGAGAGGAAGGUAGAAUUCCCGG
rnacentral:rRNA from 1 species